rnacentral:rRNA from 1 species
GACGGAGGAUGCAAGUGUUAUCCGGAAUCACUGGGCGUAAAGCGUCUGUAGGUGGUUCGAAAAGUCCACUGUUAAAAAUUGAGGCUUAACUUCAAAGAUGCCGUGGAAACUUUCAAACUAGAGUAUGGUAGGGGUAGAGGGAAUUUCCAGUGGAGCGGUGAAAUGCGUAGAUAUUGGAAAGACCACCGAUGGCGAAGGCAGCUACCUGGACCAACACUGACACUGAGGCACGAAAGCGUGGGGAGCAAACAGG